rnacentral:rRNA from 1 species
UACAGAGGUGGCAAGCGUUGUUCGGAAUUACUGGGCGUAAAGGGCGCGUAGGCGGCUUGGUCAGUCCCGUGUGAAAUCCCUCGGCUCAACUGAGGAACUGCACGGGAAACUGCCUGGCUUGAGUUCGGGAGAGGGAAGCGGAAUUCCGGGUGUAGCGGUGAAAUGCGCAGAUAUCGGGAGGAACACCAAUGGCGAAGGCAGCUCGCUGGGACGGUACUGACGCUGAGACGCGAAAGCGUGGGGAGCAAACAGG